UGCUGAGAACAGAAGCAAUGACAGCUGACUGAGCACGAAUACCGUAAAAGUCUCAUUGAUAUUAUUUUGUUCCAAGGAAGACCUGGCACAGACAGCAACAGAAGUUACUAAGCGUGUCUUUGUCCUGUCUUCUUCCCCUCACCCCAACCCCAGCCUGGUUCUGCAGGAGGUUCCUUCCUGUUUAAAGGAAGUUUUUCCUUCCCACUGUCACCGAGUGGUUGUUCAAAGGUGGUUUGAUUGUUGUGGUUUUAUCUCUAUUAUUGUAGGAUCAUUAUCUUAAAAUUUAAAGUGCCUUGAAUUGAACUGAAUUGUGCUACAUAUAACUUUUGAUCCAAAACAAGAAAGCAAGGUAUGGGCUCCGUAGAGUCUAUAUUAAGUUGACUUCUGUUGCUGUAGGCAGUGAGAGUCCCAUUUCCUCAUCUGCAAGCUCAGGUUGGUGAAUUAGAGCACUCUUUAGCUGGCAACCUGGUCUAGCUCAGUGGUUCUCAAAGGUUUUUUGUUACAAGGCAUCAUCUGUGGAAACAAAUAUUUCUAGGGCAUAGCUUUAU